rnacentral:tRNA from 1 species
GGAGAGAUGGCAGAGCGGUCUAUUGCGGCGGUCUUGAAAACCGCUGACCUUCACGGGUCCGGGGGUUCGAAUCCCUCUCUCUCCGCCA